UACGUAGGGCGCAAGCGUUGUCCGGAAUUAUUGGGCGUAAAGAGCUCGUAGGCGGUCUGUCACGUCUGCCGUGAAAACCCGAGGCUUAACCUCGUGGCUUGCGGUGGAUACGGGCAGACUAGAGGUAGGUAGGGGAGAACGGAAUUCCCGGUGUAGCGGUGAAAUGCGCAGAUAUCGGGAGGAACACCGGUGGCGAAGGCGGGUCUCUGGGCAGUAACUGACGCUGAGGAGCGAAAGCGUGGGGAGCGAACAGG
rnacentral:rRNA from 1 species